UACUAGAGUAGCACUCGCAUAUCAAUAAGCGGAGGAAAAGAAACUAACAAGGAUUCCCCUAGUAAUCGGCGAGUGAAGCGGGAAGAGCUCAAAUUUGAAAUCUUAAAGGGUUUCCCUUUACGAAUUGUAGUUUAAAGAAGUGUUUUCUGUUGAGGUUUUGGUAAAAGUUCUUUGGAAUAGGACAUCAUAGAGGGUGAGAAUCCCGUAUUUGACCUUUACUUUCAACUUUGUGAUACACUUUCAAAGAGUCGGAUUGUUUGGGAAUGCAGUCCAAAAUGGGUGGUAAAUUUCAUCUAAAGCUAAAUAUUGGCGAGAGACCGAUAGCGAACAAGUACCGUGAGGGAAAGAUGAAAAGAACUUUGAAAAGAGAGUUAAACAGUACGUGAAAUUGUCAAAAGGGAAGCGUUUGACACCAGUGUUGUUUUUCUGAAAAUCAAUUAAAGAACUGUUUAUGCUAAGUUGUUUAGACUUUAUCAGCUAUCUGUUUAGUUUUGAGCUUUUCUUUAAUGCACUUUUCAGUUAACAAGUCAACAUCAAUUUCUUUUGCUGUAAAAAAGCUUGAGGAAGGUGGCUUGAGAUUCGUCUUAAGUGUUUAUAGCCUCUUGCCUAUGCAGUCGGAGAGAUUGAGGUCUGCAGCGUAGAUCCUUCGGGGCUAAAUGCAUUUGUGCUAAGUUAUAGCAUUUUAUAGACAACUUGUUGACUAUGAUUUGUCUUGUAGCUUACUCGCUUAUGUUAUUUUACCUACGCUUAGGAUGUUGAGCGCAUGUCUCUCUCU
rnacentral:rRNA from 1 species